GCAGACACAGUUGGAUGGCAGUUGGAAGAGUACUAGCCCUGGGAAGACCCAGCUUUGAGCCUCAGGUUGUGUCUAAUCAUCUCUGUGACCUUGGGCCAGUCAACUCACCUGUUUGUGCUGUCACAGAAACAGAAGAGCCACAUCAGAGAGAAAGACUCUACAGCUUGCCCAGAGUCGAGCUUAAAUGGAGCAGCAUGAUUUUUGUCUGAAAAGUCUGAGAUGGGACCAGUGGAAAGGUGUGCAUUUUAAGAAGGAUUUGCUUCCCUAUCUUGUGCUUUCUGUGUCUUGCAGCACGACCUGGCCUUCCACCUACGAAUCAUACCUUCAUCCCCCAUACUCAUAAGUUCCAUUCAUGCUUCAAAGAGCUAGCAGAUUCAUUCUGGUCAGAACUCUGCUUUCAGUUCAAGUUCCUGCACAAAUCUCCAUGAAAAGAGAGCAGAAAUCUACCCGGAUGGUUUUUAUUCUGACGACCUGUGGUGGGACUGCCAGGUUCCAUGACACAGCUUAUUCUCAGAGGGAGGGAAGUGGGUGUCUACACCCACUCUGCUGCCCUUUACUGGUGUGACCUUGGUAGAGAAGCUUUCCUUCCUUCUGCACUUUGAGAAUGCUGGAAUAAGAAGCUUUCUAAAGUGCAUCUAGUCCUGAUGUUGUAGAAAUGGUGACAGUUCUAAGCCAUGCCCAGGCUCCUUGAAAGAUCUAGGCCCCUCACUGGAGGGCCCUCAGAGCUCAGGCCCAGCCUGCAGGAUCCUGAAUAUUGAGAUGGGGAACAGUGGGUUCAUUCGUUUCAGUGCACACCUGGCCACACUGUCUCAUGUCAAGGUCAUUUGAGCCCCAGACCCCUGCCCAUCUCCAUGUGCUUUGGAUCUCUAGUUGGCCAGCUGGCUAAGCCAGCCAAGCUGAGGAGACCCAUCCUGGGGAGUCACAGGUGGGACCCCCCCAACCCCUGCCAGGAGGCAUGAUCUUAAGACAUGGGGGGAAGAUAGGUGAGACCUGUGUGAGGCAAAGUCCCACAGCCAACUCCAGUGACUGCCGCCCUAGAGGCCCCUGGCCUAGGCUACCCAGUGAUUAUGAAACAGCUCCCUGUCAAUCAGGGCCUCCACUCCGGGAUGAGGGGCAGCGGAAAGGGCCAGAUUCUGUUCCCUCAUCCCACCCAGGCAAGGGAAGGCUUUGUGUGGCAACUUCCCAAUUUCAUGUUUUAAUUUUCAAAAAGGAAAUAAAUUCUCUCCAGCUGUAGCUGUAA